CCAAUAGCGUAUAUUAAAGUUGUUGCAGUUAAAAAGCUCGUAGUUGAAUUUCGGGGUUAGUAGGUUGGUCAUGCCUCUGGUAUGUACUGGUCUCACUGAUUCCUCCUUCCUUAUGAACCGUAAUGCCAUUAAUUUGGUGUUGCGGGAAAUUUGGACUGUUACUUUGAAAAAAUUAGAGUGUUUAAAGCAAGCUAACGCUUGAAUACAUUAGCAUGGAAUAAUGAAAUAGGACGUUUGAUCUUAUUUUGUUGGUUUCUAGGAUUGACGUAAUGAUUAAUAGGGAUUGUUGGGGGCAUUAGUAUUCAAUUGUCAGAGGUGAAAUUCUUGGAUUUAUUGAAGACUAACUACUGCGAAAGCAUUUGCCAAGGAUGUUUUCAUUAAUCAAGAACGAAAGUUAGGGGAUCGAAGACGAUCAGAUACCGUCGUAGUCUUAACCAUAAACUAUGCCGACUAGGGAUCGGAUGAUGUUAAUUUUUUAAUGACUCAUUCGGCGCCUUACG
rnacentral:misc_RNA from 1 species